AGAGUUUGAUCCUGGCUCAGGACGAACGCUGGCGGCGCGCCUAACACAUGCAAGUCGAACGAGCGAGAGAGAGCUUGCUUUCUCAAGCGAGUGGCGAACGGGUGAGUAACGCGUGAGGAACCUGCCUCAAAGAGGGGGACAACAGUUGGAAACGACUGCUAAUACCGCAUAAGCCCACAGGUCGGCAUCGACCAGAGGGAAAAGNGCAAUCCGCUUUGAGAUGGCCUCGCGUCCGAUUAGCUAGUUGGUGAGGUAAUGGCCCACCAAGGCAACGAUCGGUAGCCGGACUGAGAGGUUGAACGGCCACAUUGGGACUGAGACACGGCCCAGACUCCGUACGGGAGGCA
rnacentral:rRNA from 1 species